AUUGAACGCUGGCGGCAGGCCUAACACAUGCAAGUCGAGCGGAUGAAGAGAGCUUGCUCUCUGAUUCAGCGGCGGACGGGUGAGUAAUGCCUAGGAAUCUGCCUGGUAGUGGGGGACAACGUUUCGAAAGGAACGCUAAUACCGCAUACGUCCUACGGGAGAAAGCAGGGGACCUUCGGGCCUUGCGCUAUCAGAUGAGCCUAGGUCGGAUUAGCUAGUAGGUGAGGUAAAGGCUCACCUAGGCGACGAUCCGUAACUGGUCUGAGAGGAUGAUCAGUAACACUGGAACUGAGACACGGUCCAGACUCCUACGGGAGGCAGCAGUGGGGAAUAUUGGACAAUGGGCGAAAGCCUGAUCCAGCCAUGCCGCGUGUGUGAAGAAGGUCUUCGGAUUGUAAAGCACUUUAAGUUGGGAGGAAGGGCAGUAAGUUAAUACCUUGCUGUUUUGACGUUACCAACAGAAUAAGCACCGGCUAACUUCGUGCCAGCAGCCGCAGUAAAAC
rnacentral:rRNA from 1 species